rnacentral:snRNA from 1 species
GGAUGUGAGGGCAAUCUGGCUGCGACAUCUGUCACCCCACUGAUCGCCAGGGUUGAUUCCACUGACCUGGCUGACUAGGCGGGUGUCCCCUUCCUCCCUCAAUGCCCCAUGUGUGUCCCCCUGAAGCUGUGUGCUCAGUUGAAGAGGACAACCACCCCCACAGAGGAGGACCUUUCCAAAGUCAAGGGUAUGUGAGUAGCUGUGCUCCCCUGCUAGAAUCUUCAAACAAGCUCUCAAAAAUAAGCAGACAGAACCACUUAUUUAUAUGGGCACAGCAAUUUUUGUCUAAAAUGAGACAAAAUCU